GAAAUGCGAUAAGUAAUGUGAAUUGCAGAAUUCAGUGAAUCAUCGAAUCUUUGAACGCACCUUGCGCUCCUUGGUAUUCCUUGGAGCAUGCCUGUUUGAGUAUCAUGAAAUCUUCAAAGUAAAUCUUUUGUUAACUCAAUUGGUUUCUACUUUGGUAUUGGAGGUCUUUGCAGCUUCACACCUGCUCCUCUUUGUUCAUUAGCUGGAUCUCAGUGUUAUGCUUGGUUCCACUCGGCGUGAUAAGUUAUCUAUCGCUGAGGACACUGUAAAAGGUGGCCAAGGUAAAUGCAGAUGAACUGCUUCUAAUAGUCCAUUGACUUGGACAAUACUUUUAUGAUCUGAUCUCAAAUCAGGUAGGACUACCCGCUGAACUUAAGC
rnacentral:misc_RNA from 1 species